GUUCCCGUAGUUCAAUGGAUAGAACAUCGGUCUCCGGAACCGAAAAUCUGGGUUCGAAUCCCGGCGGGAACGCCA
rnacentral:tRNA from 1 species